rnacentral:rRNA from 1 species
UAAGCAUAUCAAGGGGG